CCUUUUAUUGAAGAGGCACUAUUUUCCCUAAUGUGUGUUUUUAGUGCCUUUGUCAAAGAACAGUUGACUGGACACUCAAUGAUUCACUCAUUCCAUGGAUGAUAAGAUGAAUAAUUUACCAACUGCUGGAGUGUCGUGCAUCAUCCAUGCAGAUCUCCCAAUACCUGCAGGUAACAGAGGCUGUGGUGCAGCCACCUGGGCCUCCCAUAACAGAGCAUAUGAAGCUGUGGCAAAAGGAUUAAGAAUGUUUUCAUAUUUUAUUUACACAAAAUUUUUCUGAUUUAUCAUGUUUGAUGCAUAUAUAAUUACCAUUUGUAUGUAUGUGCAUGCAUAACAUGUUAAUGUUAUUUGAUUAAUUCUGUGUUGCUGAUUUCUUAACUUAAUUCUAUUACUCUUCUCGGUUUUAAAAUCUGUUCUAAGGUCAUCUUGCAUACUAGCAUGUACGUUACUUUGAGAUAAAUUCUAGGACAGAUUAACUUGGAUUAAACCCAUGCUCUAUUGUUUACAGGGUAUUUGAUAAAACAUUUUCAUAAAAAAAGCAAGAUUUAUGUAUUUGCUCUCAGAUUAUUUUUGUGGUUUUAUGUAUUAAUAUAUUUUUUAAAGUGCUAGAAUGACAUCCUGUGUAUAGUCAGUGUUCAAAAAGAACAACACUUUUGAAGAAGAACAACAAUGCUAUUGUUACUAUUAUAUUAAAGCCGGCAUGCAUAUCACAUGCAAUCCAUUCAAUUCAAAGUCAUCCAUGAAUCCUUUCUUCAGUGUUCUACUUCUGUGCUACUCAAAAGUUUGGUAUUUGGACUAAAGGCAUUGGCAUCACUUGAACUUGUUAGAAAUGCUGACACUCAGGCCCAACCACAGACCUCUUUGAAUCAGAAUUUGCAUUCUAUCAAGAUUUCCAGUUCAUUGUUACACACAUGAAAUUUUGAGAAGUAUACUUCUUAUUCACCAUGACUUUUUCUUCUAAGAAAUAUGCAUAACUUAUUCUAAAUGAAAUAAAUAUGAAACUCCAAAUGUAUAUUCCUGUACUGAUGCUUUAAUUUUACAUGUUUUAUCCCAUAAAAUCACAGUGUCUACACUGGUUAUGUAAAUAUUAUGUCAUUGUUUUUGCACAGAGUUAGAAAAUGCAUUAGGGAAUAUUACGAUGUUGACCAGUAUCUUAUUGGAUCGUUCAGGUCACUCAUGUGAGUCAAAACCUGUUUUCCUAACUCUGUAAUUUUGUCUUGGGUCAAAUGAAGAACUCUGCCCAUGGUCA